rnacentral:rRNA from 1 species
ACUCCUGCGGGAGGCAGCAGUGGGGAAUAUUGGACAAUGGGCGCAAGCCUGAUCCAGCCAUGCCGCGUGAGUGAUGAAGGCCCUAGGGUUGUAAAGCUCUUUCACCGGUGAAGAUAAUGACGGUAACCGGAGAAGAAGCCCCGACUAACUUCGUGCCAGCAGCCGCGGUAAUACGAAGGGGGCUAGCGUUGUUCGGAUUUACUGGGCGUAAAGCGCACGUAGGCGGACUAUUAAGUCAGGGGUGAAAUCCCGGGGCUCAACCCCGGAACUGCCUUUGAUACUGGUAGUCUUGAGUUCGAGAGAGGUGAGUGGAAUUCCGAGUGUAGAGGUGAAAUUCGUAGAUAUUCGGAGGAACACCAGUGGCGAAGGCGGCUCACUGGCUCGAUACUGACGCUGAGGUGCGAAAGCGUGGGGAGCAAACAGGAUUAGAAACCCCAGUAGUCCC